CAUCAGCCAAGUAAGGGGAUAUUUUGACGAUAAUAGAUAACUAAGGGGUUCUAUCUCUCAUGAAGUGCUGUAUUCUCAGAAGUAAAUUUCUGUUAUUGUAAAAUAUGUGAAUGUAGGAUAGAGCAGAUGAUGUUUUUAUCGUGUGCGCCUUAAUACUAAACAACUGUUUACGUAAGCGGGUUUGGCGGGCACUGUCUCCGAGGUCUGCGUUUCUGACAGCUGCAGAAAGCUUGCUUUAGCAAUAUCAGACCAAUUUAGCCUGACAGCCGAUGGCUGGGAUGUACAUUUAGACAUCAGAGGAAGGAGAGACAGCCCUGGAGCCCGUGCACUGGCUGGUUUUUUGUGAUGAAUGGGAGCAUAGACGACUAAUAAAUUUGAUGUGAUUGAAUCAUCACCCCUGAA